GAGUUUGAUCCUGGCUCAGGAUGAACGCUAGCGGCAGGCUUAAUACAUGCAAGUCGUGGGGCAGCAGGGCUGUAGCAAUACAGUCGCUGGCGACCGGCAAACGGGUGCGGAACACGUACGCAACCUACCCAAAACUGGGGAAUAGCCCGGGGAAACCCGGAUUAAUACCCCGUAACAUAAUGAAGUAGCAUCGCUUUAUUAUUAUAGCUCCGGCGGUUUUGGAUGGGCGUGCGACUGAUUAGGUAGUUGGCGGGGUAACGGCCCACCAAGCCUGCGAUCAGUAACUGGUGUGAGAGCACGACCAGUCACACGGGCACUGAGACACGGGCCCGACUCCUACGGGAGGCAGCAGUAAGGAAUAUUGGUCAAUGGACGCAAGUCUGAACCAGCCAUGCCGCGUGGAGGAUGAAGGUCCUCUGGAUUGUAAACUUCUUUUAUCUGGGAAGAAAUCCACGAUUUCUAUUGUGGUUGACGGUACCAGAUGAAUAAGCACCGGCUAACUCCGUGCCAGCAGCCGCGGUAAUACGGAGGGUGCAAGCGUUAUCCGGAUUCACUGGGUUUAAAGGGUGCGUAGGCGGGCUUGUAAGUCCGUGGUGAAAUCCCCGAGCUUAACUUGGGAACUGCCAUGGAUACUAUAAGUCUUGAAUGCUGUGGAGGUGAGCGGAAUAUGUCAUGUAGCGGUGAAAUGCUUAGAUAUGACAUAGAACACCAAUUGCGAAGGCAGCUCGCUACACGGUAAUUGACGCUGAGGCACGAAAGCGUGGGGAUCAAACAGGAUUAGAUACCCUGGUAGUCCACGC
rnacentral:rRNA from 1 species